GACGAACGCUGGCGGCGUGCCUAAUACAUGCAAGUCGAACGCAUUUUCUUUCACUGUCGCUUGCUACACCGAAAGAAAAUGAGUGGCGAACGGGUGAGUAACACGUGGGUAACCUGCCCAUCAGCGGGGGAUAACACUUGGAAACAGGUGCUAAUACCGCAUAAUUCCAUUUACUGCAUGGUAGAUGGAUGAAAGGCGCUUUUGCGUCACUGAUGGAUGGACCCGCGGUGCAUUAGCUAGUUGGUGGGGUAACGGCCUACCAAGGCUGCGAUGCAUAGCCGACCUGAGAGGGUGAUCGGCCACACUGGGACUGAGACACGGCCCAGACUCCUACGGGAGGCAGCAGUAGGGAAUCUUCGGCAAUGGACGCAAGUCUGACCGAGCAACGCCGCGUGAGUGAAGAAGGGUUUCGGAUCGUAAAACUCUGUUGUUAGAAAAGAACAAGGAUGAGAGUGGAAAGUUCAUCCCUUGACGGUAGCUAACCAGAAAGCCACGGCUAACUACGUG
rnacentral:rRNA from 1 species